CGUUCCCGGGCCUUGUACACACCGCCCGUCACACCAUGGGAGUUGGUUCUACCUUAAGCCGGCCCGCCGACCGCAAGGGGGCAGCCGACCACGGUAGGGUCAGCGACUGGGGUG
rnacentral:rRNA from 1 species